rnacentral:rRNA from 1 species
GCCCUUAGAGUUUGAUCAUGGCUCAGAACGAACGCUAGCGGUGUGCCUCAUACAUGCAAGUCGGACGGGAAAAGGACUUCGGUUUUAGAGUACCGUGGCAAACGGGUGAGUAACACGUAGGUAUCUGCCCUUAAGUUGGGGAUAACAGGCUGAAAAGGCUGCUAAGACCCAAUAAUAGUGGUUAAAUAUUAUCACUUAAAAUAAUUUAUUAGCUUGAGGAUGAGCCUGCGCCCCAUUAGCUAGUUGGUAGGGUAACAGCCUACCAAGGCCAUGAUGGGUAGCCGGCCUGAGAGGGUGUACGGCCACACUGGGACUGAGACACGGCCCAGACUCCUACGGGAGGCAGCAGUAGGGAAUAUUGCCCAAUGGGCGAAAGCCUGAGGCAGCGACACCGCGUGGGUGAUGAAGGUAUUAUGUAUCGUAAAGCCUUGUCGUGAGGGAAGAUAAUGACGGUACCUCACUAAUAGCCCCGGCUAACUCCGUGCCAGCAGCCGCGGUAAUACGGAGGGGGCGAGCGUUGUUCGGAAUUACUGGGCGUAAAGCGCACGUAGGCGGUAUGAUAAGUUGAGUGUUAAAUAUUCUGGCU